UGGUGUCGAGUAACCAAAGGUCAAAGUAAAGACAAGUGAAUGAAAACGGAAGGAAACUUAACAGGCUGCACGAAAUGGGACAGAACAUCACCAAAUCCACUCAUACGUCAACCAAAUCAUUGCAGUGGGUGUCGAAUAAUCGUUUUAUUCGCCGGAAAAAAAACAAGACUGCAGACAAUAUGACACUGGGAUCUGGAUUCACUACGGACAUCAUCUACAGUGGGAGUCGGUGUGUUACCUUGGUCAGAUGGCCAUUUUCUUUCCAUGCUGUUUCCUGCCCUUACUGAGUUACACCCACGGGUAGAAGCCCGCACAGUUUUUAGCAUGCUUGAUAGGAAUAUCUUAAGAUGAGGGAGGGCCUUCAACCUUUGAGCCCUGUUCCUGCUGACUGGAUUUGCCAUUACUUCAACAUUGUGACUAUGUCUCUGGCUGGCCACAUUAUCAUCUGUGACUGAUGUUACAAAUGCACAAGGUAGUUUGGGGCUGUAAACAUCCCCGACUGGAAGCUGUCUAUCUUGCAGAGCUUUCAGUCUGAUGUUUGCUGCUGCCGACUGCCUCCAGCGCCACAGAAAUGGAAGAGUUAGGUAUAUGUGCCGUGUCCAUUUUAUCUGACCUGCUACUUUAAAAUGCAGACGUAAUUGUGUGGUAGAGUUGUAUUAGAGCUGGGCGAUAUGAAAAAGAAAAA